rnacentral:rRNA from 1 species
AUUGAACGCUGGCGGCAAGCUUAACACAUGCAAGUCGAGCGGGGUGAUGGUGCUUGCACUAUCACUUAGCGGCGGACGGGUGAGUAAUGCUUAGGAAUCUGCCUAUUAGUGGGGGACAACAUCUCGAAAGGGAUGCUAAUACCGCAUACGUCCUACGGGAGAAAGCAGGGGAUCACUUGUGACCUUGCGCUAAUAGAUGAGCCUAAGUCGGAUUAGCUAGUUGGUGGGGUAAAGGCCUACCAAGGCGACGAUCUGUAGCGGGUCUGAGAGGAUGGUCCGCCACACUGGGACUGAGGCACGGCCCAGACUCCUACGGGAGGCAGCAGUGGGGAAUAUUGGACAAUGGGGGGAACCCUGAUCCAGCCAUGCCGCGUGUGUGAAGAAGGCCUUAUGGUUGUAAAGCACUUUAAGCGAGGAGGAGGCUCUUUUGGUUAAUACCCAAGAUGAGUGGACGUUACUCGCAGAAUAAGCACCGGCUAACUCUGUGCCAGCCGCCGCGGUAA